GUGGGGAAUGGCGUUGAUGGGAGUUUUUAAUAGUCUUGAUUUGAUUGAUUGAUAUACAUGGAAGUUUUUAACGACACUGACUCAAUGACUGGCUAUACAACACAUAGAAGUUUUUGACGACAUUGACUGCCUAAACAGCCCUUUGAGUUUCUCAGUCGGCUAUAAAGGGGGAAUGACACGGUGUCCGCCCCCUUUUGUUGAAAAA
rnacentral:lncRNA from 1 species